AAAAACACACACACAUU
rnacentral:miRNA from 1 species